GACGAACGCUGGCGGCGUGCUUAACACAUGCAAGUCGAACGGAAAGGCCCUGCUUUUGUGGGGUGCUCGAGUGGCGAACGGGUGAGUAACACGUGAGUAACCUGCCCUUGACUUUGGGAUAACUUCAGGAAACUGGGGCUAAUACCGGAUAGGAGCUCCUGCUGCAUGGUGGGGGUUGGAAAGUUUCGGCGGUUGGGGAUGGACUCGCGGCUUAUCAGCUUGUUGGUGGGGUAGUGGCUUACCAAGGCUUUGACGGGUAGCCGGCCUGAGAGGGUGACCGGGCACAUUGGGACUGAGAUACGGCCCAGACUCCUACGGGAGGGAGCAGGGGGGAAUAUUGCACAAUGGGCGGAAGCCUGAUGCAGCAACGCCGCGUGCGGGAUGACGGCCUUCGGGUUGUAAACCGCUUUCGCCUGUGACGAAGCGUGAGUGACGGUAAUGGGUAAAGAAGCACCGGCUAACUACGUG
rnacentral:rRNA from 1 species